rnacentral:lncRNA from 10 species
CACACACAAAACACAGAUGUUGAUUUCUGGAUAAACUUAUGUAAAUCACUACACAUGUGUCUGAAUUUAUUCAUGCAAAAAUUUUGAAAAAGCAGUUUUAGAUUCUCCUUUAUAGGGAGCUUUAAAGUGAUUUAAAAUAUACACCUGUACGUAUUAAUAUGAUUUGAUGUUCAUACGAUAUUUUCUAAGUAACUUGUCUUUGUUUUUUUUCCUGAGACAGGAUCUCACUCUGUCACCCAGGCUGGAGUACAGUGGUGCGAUCUCAACUUACUGCAACCUCCGCCUCCCGGUUCAAGCGAUUCGCCUGCCUCUGCCUUAACUUCUCCACUCCAUAAGUGAGAGGUGUCCAGAGGUGGCUCCAACACAUCUGUUAAUGGUGAUUGGUUUCGAGCCUGAAGGCCAAAGUGUCAUUGCUUAGCUUCAAGUUAACUGGAAGGAAGACACGUCUUUUGUAGAGCAAAGUCUUCACCAUCACUCUCAGCCAUCAGAGACUUGGUUCACUCUGCUGCUGCUCCUUUGAACAGAAAGCCCUCCGUUGGCUCUUUAGUGAAUGCCUGAUUUUAUGGGGAAAGUAGUGUGCACCCUUUGACUUUUUUUUUUUUUUUCUGUGCUGUAAUACUUAGCCACAGGCAAGAAAGUGGCAAAACAGAACAAAGCCCAAUCUCUUUCCCUUGAACAAACAUUCCUUUUGUAAUGUUCCUUCGCUCCCAGACUUAAUAUCCUACAUUUAUCUUCUUUGAGCUGAAUUUCUCUACUAUAACCUAAUUACAUAAAUGAUCAAAGCCAUCCUCUAAUUCCUCUCAUCUUUCCAGUCUCUGUCAGGGGUAAGCUCGAGAGUUUUUCU